rnacentral:rRNA from 1 species
GGACUACAGGGGUAUCUAAUCCCGUUUGCUACCCUAGCUUUCGCGCCUCAGCGUCAGUGUCAGCCUAGCAACCCGCCUUCGCCUCAGGUGUUCCUCUUGAUAUCUACGCAUUUCACCGCUACACCAAGAAUUCCGAUUGCCCUUUCUGCACUCUAGCACAGCAGUAUCAAUUGACCGUUCCGAGUUAAGCUCGGAGAUUUCACAAUUGACUUACCACGCCGCCUACGCGCCCUUUACGCCCAGUAAAUCCGAACAACGCUUGGUCCCUACGUAUUACCGCGGCUGCUGGCAC